AAACUCAAAGGAAUUGACGGGGGCCCGCACAAGCGGUGGAGCAUGUGGUUCAAUUCGAAGCAACGCGCAGAACCUUACCAGCCUUUGACAUCCCGGUCGCGGGCACCAGAGAUGGAGCCCUUCAGUUCGGCUGGACCGGAGACAGGUGCUGCAUGGCUGUCGUCAGCUCGUGUCGUGAGAUGUUGGGUUAAGUCCCGCAACGAGCGCAACCCUCGCCCUUAGUUGCCAUCAUUUAGUUGGGCACUCUAAGGGGACUGCCGGUGAUAAGCCGCGAGGAAGGUGGGGAUGACGUCAAGUCCUCAUGGCCCUUACAGGCUGGGCUACACACGUGCUACAAUGGCGGUGACAAUGGGACGCAAUGGGGAAACCCUGCGCAAAUCUCAAAAAGCCGUCUCAGUUCGGAUUGUGCUCUGCAACUCGAGCACAUGAAGUUGGAAUCGCUAGUAAUCGCAGAUCAGCACGCUGCGGUGAAUACGUUCCCGGGCCUUGUACACACCGCCCA
rnacentral:rRNA from 1 species